rnacentral:rRNA from 1 species
AUUGAACGCUGGCGGAAUGCUUUACACAUGCAAGUCGAACGGUAGAGGGGGCAACCCCUCGAGAGUGGCGAACGGGUGAGUAAUAUAUCGGAACGUGCCCAGUCGUGGGGGAUAACGUAGCGAAAGUUACGCUAAUACCGCAUACGAUCUAAGGAUGAAAGCGGGGGAUCGCAAGACCUCGCGCGAUUGGAGCGGCCGAUAUCAGAUUAGGUAGUUGGUGGGGUAAAGGCUCACCAAGCCAACGAUCUGUAGCUGGUCUGAGAGGACGACCAGCCAAACUGGAACUGAGACACGGUCCAGACUCGUACGGGAGGCAGCAGUGGGGAAUUUUGGACAAUGGACGCAAGUCUGAUCCAGCCAUUCCGCGUGCAGGAUGAAGGCCCUUGGGUUGUAAGCUGCUUUUGUACGGAACGAAAAGGUCUCUCUUAAUACGGGGGACUCAUGACGGUACCGUAAGAAUAAGCACCGGCUAACUACGUGCCAGCCGCCGCCGUAA